GGGUUGUGAGGUUAAGCGACUAAGCGUACACGGUGGAUGCCCUGGCAGUCAGAGGCGAUGAAGGGCGUACUAAUCUGCGAUAAGCGCCGGUAAGGUGAUAUGAACCGUUAUAACCGGCGAUACCCGAAUGGGGAAACCCAGUGUGAUUCGUCACACUAUCAUUAACUGAAUCCAUAGGUUAAUGAGGCGAACCGGGGGAACUGAAACAUCUAAGUACCCCGAGGAAAAGAAAUCAACCGAGAUUCCCCCAGUAGCGGCGAGCGAACGGGGAGGAGCCCAGAGCCUGAAUCAGCAUGUGUGUUAGUGGAAGCGUCUGGAAAGGCGCGCGAUACAGGGUGACAGCCCCGUACACAAAAGCGCAUGUGCUGUGAGCUCGAUGAGUAGGGCGGGACACGUGGUAUCCUGUCUGAAUAUGGGGGGACCAUCCUCCAAGGCUAAAUACUCCUGACUGACCGAUAGUGAACCAGUACCGUGAGGGAAAGGCGAAAAGAACCCCGGCGAGGGGAGUGAAAAAGAACCUGAAACCGUGUACGUACAAGCAGUGGGAGCACCCUUUGGGUGUGACUGCGUACCUUUUGUAUAAUGGGUCAGCGACUUAUAUUCUGUAGCAAGGUUAACCGAAUAGGGGAGCCGGAGGGAAACCGAGUCUUAACCGGGCGUUAAGUUGCAGGGUAUAGACCCGAAACCCGGUGAUCUAGCCAUGGGCAGGUUGAAGGUUGGGUAACACUAACUGGAGGACCGAACCGACUAAUGUUGAAAAAUUAGCGGAUGACCUGUGGCUGGGGGUGAAAGGCCAAUCAAACCGGGAGAUAGCUGGUUCUCCCCGAAAGCUAUUUAGGUAGCGCCUCGUGAAUUCAUCUCCGGGGGUAGAGCACUGUUUCGGCUAGGGGGCCAUCCCGGCUUACCAACCCGAUGCAAACUGCGAAUACCGGAGAAUGUUAUCACGGGAGACACACGGCGGGUGCUAACGUCCGUCGUGAAGAGGGAAACAACCCAGACCGCCAGCUAAGGUCCCAAAGUCAUGGUUAAGUGGGAAACGAUGUGGGAAGGCCCAGACAGCCAGGAUGUUGGCUUAGAAGCAGCCAUCAUUUAAAGAAAGCGUAAUAGCUCACUGGUCGAGUCGGCCUGCGCGGAAGAUGUAACGGGGCUAAACCAUGCACCGAAGCUGCGGCAGC
rnacentral:rRNA from 1 species